CCUUUUUCCUCAAAGCUUCUGGAAAGACUUGUCUUUACCCAUGUGUCUCACUUCCUCAAUUCCAACUCUCUCCUUGACCCUCUUCAGUCUGGCUUCCGCCUACUCCACUCUACUGAGACUGCUCUUAUCAAAGUUACUAAUGACCUAAUUGCAGCUAAAUCCAAAGGCCACUACUCCAUUUUAAUUCUUCUUGACCUCUCUGCUGCCUUUGAAACCGUU